rnacentral:rRNA from 1 species
AUUGAACGCUGGCGGCAGGCCUAACACAUGCAAGUCGAGCGGAUGAAGGGAGCUUGCUCCUGGAUUCAGCGGCGGACGGGUGAGUAAUGCCUAGGAAUCUGCCUGGUAGUGGGGGAUAACGUCCGGAAACGGGCGCUAAUACCGCAUACGUCCUGAGGGAGAAAGUGGGGGAUCUUCGGACCUCACGCUAUCAGAUGAGCCUAGGUCGGAUUAGCUAGUUGGUGGGGUAAAGGCCUACCAAGGCGACGAUCCGUAACUGGUCUGAGAGGAUGAUCAGUCACCCUGGAACUGAGACACGGUCCCGACUCCUACGGGAGGCAGCAGUGGGGAAUAUUGGACAAUGGGCGAAAGCCUGAUCCAGCCAUGCCGCGUGUGUGAAGAAGGUCUUCGGAUUGUUAAGCACUUUAAGUUGGGAGGAAGGGCAGUAAGUUAAUACCUUGCUGUUUUGACGGUACCAACAGAAUAAGCACCGGCUAACUUCGUG